UUUUUUUUGGUUUUUCUUAAGGUUUAACAAACACACAAGAAGGAAGCAGGAAAAAGAAAAUAAACUAGCAUGGAUAUUACAGUGAAAGAGUAUGAGCACCAACAUCUAGUGAUGAGUGUGUGUGAGCAUAAAUGUAAUGUUGGUGAGAAAUACGUACUCCCCCAAGCUUAGGCUUUUGGCCUAAGUUGGUCUAUUGCUAGGGAUAGCCUGGCGGAUACUCGUAAGUGUAGCUGGGGUCGUACUGCGACGAAGAAUAGUUGGGAUCAUACUGAUGUGCAGCGGUUAUCACCUGCUAAGCUGCAGCGUGGAGUCGAGCUGCCUCCACUCUCCUCUCGUACUCUUCUGCCUCCUCUCUGGUAAUAACAUAUCUUCUUUUUGUCUAUGAAUCAAAGAAGGUAGGAGCAGGGAGAGUAAUACGGAAAACACGUCGUUUAUCAAAAAUUAAACGAUAUAAGAAAGGUGAUUCAGGCCUCUCGACAAACUGGUGCGAAGCCAUAGAGUUAUAAUCUAAGUAUGCAGGAGGCAACUCCGUAUCACCCUCAUGAAUGUCUAUCUCAAGAAAAUGAGCUAAGCGGGUUGCAUAAAUUCCUCCAAAGAAAUCUCCAUUAUGUCUAUUAUGAUGCAACCUACGAGCUACAAUGGCUCCCAUAUGAUAAGAUUGGUCUCCUAACACAGCACUCCUAAGAAUUCUAAGAUCAGGGACACACAUGUGACAUGCUUCAUCCUUAGCAUUUAUGCAUCUACCGAUGAAGAGAGCAAAAUAAUGUAUAGCAGGAAAGUGAAUGCUCCCUAUGGUAGCCUGCGUUAUAUCUCUAGAUUCCCCCAAAGUUAUACUAGCAAGAAAGUUUCUAAAUUCAGAUUUUGGGGGAUCCCUAACACUACCCCAUGAUGGAAGUUUGCAAGCAGAAGUGAAAUCCUCUAAGUCCAUGGUAUAACAUUUGUCAUAGAGAUCAAACAUGACUGAAGGAGAAUUACGCGAAGAUGAAUACUCAAACCUCCUCACAAAUGAACUUGUGAGAUCAUGAUACUGGGGGCAUUUGUUAGCCUCAAAAUCCUCAAGACCGGCAUUGUGCAAAUAUGCUUUGAAUUCUUCUUUAAUUCCCGCACGGUCCAUAAAAUUUUCCGACGGCCAUUCGCAAGGCCGUACUGGAGCGUCUCUUGGUGGAUCCUCGUCAGCAUCGCGCAUAGCAAUCCUAGGUCCUUGCUUCUUAGAAUAACCACCUUGGAACAUCUUCCUAAGCAUAAUGUUUUUUCUCUGGAAAAUUCUGAAAUUUUUAGUAACUUCAAACAAAAGUGAACCAACUUCAAUAAAACUGAUAGAAACAUUCCUACAAGUGCUUAGAGCCUAUAUCAAGCAUUAGAACUACUUGGAACCAUAUAAAUUUGACAUGCAAGCUCAAGAACAUGGUCACCUAUGCAGCACAAAUUUGCAAAGAAUAGAGCACUAGAACAAAAACUAAUUGGACCAAUGGAGGAGUCACAUACCAAGGAACAAUCUCCCCAAGCAGUUUUGCGAGAGGUGCUUUGAGCAAGGAGAUCGAAAAUCACAGCAAAAGUGGCUGGAACUCGUGCUUGAGUUGGUUUUUCGGGUUUGUGUGAGACAGAGGAAGAAGAUGGGUGCUGGGAUAAGUGGAGGAGGGCCACCGUGGGCCCAUGAGGCAGGGGGCACGCCCUAGAGGGGGGGCGCGCCCACCACCCUCGUGGCCAAGUGGCAGCUCCUCCCGCGGUAAUUUUUGCACAGUAAAUCCUCAAAUAUUCCCGAAAAAAAUCAUAUUAAAUUGGCAUGUCAUUCUGAGGACUUUUAUUUUCAUGAUAUUUUUAUAUUGCACGGAUAAGUCAGGAAACAGACAGAAAAAUACUAUUUUUACUUUAUUUCUACUAAUUAACAGAAAAUAUAGAGAGGGUACAGAAGGUUGUGCUUCUAGUCGAUCCAUCUCAUGCUCAUCAAAAAGAAUCCACUAACAAGGUUGACCAAGUCUUGUUAACAAACUCAUUCCGAUAAUCAUGAAACCGGAGAAAUUUUGAAUAACACUAAGUUACCUCAACGGGGAUAUGCACAUCCCCUAUAAUAAGUGUAUCAUAUUUCUUUUUGACAGUAGGAAGAGGAAAUUCAAAACCUCCAAUUAUAAUCGAUGGAAUUUUUCCAAUGGAGUUGAUACUAUGCUUGAGGUUGUUUCCUCGGAAAGUGUACCAUAUGCUCAUUACCAUUAACAUGAAAAGUGACAUUGCCUUUGUUGCAAUCAAUAAGAGCCCCUGUAGUAUUAAGAAAAGGUCUUCCAAGAAUAAUAGACAUACUAUCAUCCUCGGGAAUAUCAAGUAUAACAAAGUCCGUUAAAAUAGUAACGUUUGCAACCACAACAGGCACAUCCUCACAAAUACCGACAUGUAUAGCAGUUGAUUUAUCAGCCAUUUGCAAAGAUAUUUCGGUAGGUGUCAGCUUAUUCAAGUCAAGUCUAUGAUAUAAAGAGAGAGGCAUAACACUAACACCGGCUCCAAGAUCACAUAAAGCAGUUUUAAUAUAAUUUCUUUUAAUGGAGCAAGGUAUAGUAGGUACUCUGGGGUCUCCAAGUUUCUUUGGUAUUCCACCCUUAAAAGUAUAAUUAGCAAGCAUGGUGGAAAUCUCAGCUUCCGGUAUCUUUUUUUUAUUAGUAAUGAUAUCCUUCAUAUAUUUAGCAUAAGGAUUUGUUUUGAGCACAUCAGUUAAUCGCAUACGCAAAAAGAUAGGCCUAAUCAUUUUAGCAAAGCGCUCAAAAUCCUCAUCAUCCUUUUUCUUGGAUGGUUUCGGAGGAAAAGGCAUGGGUUUCUGAACCCAAGGUUCCCUUUCUUUACCAUGUUUCCUAGCAACAAAGUCUCUUUUAUCAUAAUGUUGAUUCUUUGAUUGUGGGUUAUCAAGAUCAACAGCAGGUUCAAUUUCUACAUCAUUAUCAUUACUAGGUUGAGCAUUAUCAUGAACAUCACCAUUAAUAUUUUCAUUAGGUUCAUGUUCAUUACCAGAUUGUGUUUCAGCAUCAGACAUAGAGAUAUCAUUUGGAUUAUCAAGUGGUUCAGCAAUAGGUUCACUAGAAGUUUGCACAAUUCUAUCAUUUUUCUUCUUCUUCUUCUUUUUAUAAGAACUAAGAACAUCGAUAUUAUUUCUUUGAGAAUCUUGCUCGAUUCUCUUAGGGUGGCCUUCAGGAUACAAAGGUUCCUAAGUCAUUCUACCAGUUCUAGUAGCCACUCUAACAGCAUAAUCAUUUUUCUUACUAUUCAUUUCAUCAAGCACUUCUUUUUGAGCCUUAAGUACUUGUUCUACUUGAGUGGUAACCAUAGAAGCAUGUUUGCUAAUAAGUUUAAGUUCACCUUUAAUAUUAGCCAUAUAAUCACUCAAGCGUCUAAUCAUAUAAGCAUUUUCUUUUAAUUGUCUACCAAAAUAAGCAUUGAAGUCGUCUUGCUUAAACAUAAAGUUAUCAAACUCAUCCAAGCACUGACUAGCAAUUUUAGUAGGAGGAACUUCAGCUUUAUCAUAUCUAUAGAGAGAAUUUACCUUUACUACCUGUGUCGGGAUGUCGGGAUCAGGAGGUUCUUCGGUAAAUAAAGAAUUGAGAUCAUAUGUUUCUUCAAUAGGAGGUAUAUUAAGACCAUGUAUUUCUUCAAUAGGAGGUAAAUUCUUAACAUCUUCAGCUUUAAUACCUUUUUCUUUCAUAGAUUUCUUUGCCUCUUGCAUAUCUUCGGGGCUGAGGAAUAGAACACCUCUCUUCUUCGGAGUUGGUUUAGGAAUAGACUCAGUAAUUGGAGAAGGAGCUGGCUCAGGAGCUGGCUCAGGAGGUGCCCAAUUAUUUUCAUUUGUCAACAUAUUAUUCAAUAGAAUUUCAGCUUCAUCCGGUGUUCUUUCCCUGGAAAGAGAACCAGCACAACUAUCCAGGUAAUCUCUGGAAGCACCAGUUAGUCCAUUAUAAAAGAUAUCAAGUAUUUCCGGUUUCUUAAGAGGAUGAUCAGGCAAAGCAUUAAGUAACUUGAGAAGCCUCCUCCAAGCUUGUGGGAGACUCUCUUCUUUAAUUUGCACAAAGUUGUAUAUUUCCCUCAAAGCGGCUUGUUUCUUAUGAGCAUGGAAAUAUUUAGCAGAGAAGUAAUAAAUCAUAUCCUGGGGACUACGCGCACAACCAGGAUCAAGAGAAUUAAACCAUAUCUUAGCAUCACCCUUUAAUGAGAACGGAAAUAUUUUGAGUAUAUAAAAGUAACGCGAUCCCUCAUCAUUAGUAAACAGGGCGGCUAUAUCAUUUAACUUAGUAAGAUAUGCCACAACAGUUUCAGAUUCAUAGCCAUAAAACGGAUCAGAUUCAACCAAAGUAAUUAUAUCAGGAUCAACAGAGAAUUCAUAAUCCUUAUCAGGAACACAAAUAGGUGAAGUAGCAAAAGCAGGGUCGGGUUUCAUUUUAUCCCUAAGUGAUUCUUUGUUCCAUUUAACUAAUAACCUCUUAAGCUCAUAUCUAUCCCUGCAAGCUAAAAUAGCUAAAGAAGAUUCUUUAUCAAAAACAUAGCCCUCAGGAAUAACAGGAAUAUUUUCAUCAUCACUAUUAUCAUCGUAUUCAGAUUCAAUAAUUUCUUUUUCUCUAGCCCUAGCAAUUUGUUCAUCAAGAAAUUCACCAAGGGGCACAGUAGUAUCAGGCAUAGAAGCAGUUUCAUCAUAAGUAUCAUACAUAGCAGAAGUGGCAUCAUCAAUAACAUGCGACAUAUCGGAACAAAUAGCAGAAGCAGGUUUAGGUGUUGCUGGCCUACUCAUAACAGAAGGUGAAUCAAGUGCAGAGCUAGAUGGCAGUUCCUUACCUCCCCUCGUAGUUGAGGGAUAAAUUGUUGUAUUAGCGUCUUUCAAGUUCUUCAUAGUGUCCAGCAGAUAUAAAUCCCAAGUGACUCAAAGAAUAGAUCUAUGCUCCCCGGCAACGGCGCCAGAAAUUAGUCUUGAUAACCCACAAGUAUAGGGGGUCGCAACAGCUUUCGAGGGUAGAGUAUUCAACCCAAAUUUAUUGAUUCGACACAAGGGGAGCCAAAGAAUAUUCUCAAGUAUUAGCAUCUGAGUUGUCAAUUCAACCACACCUGGAAACUUAGUAUCUGCAGCAAAGUGUUUAGUAGCAAAGUAAUAUGAUAGUGGUGGUAGCGGCAACAAAAGUAAAGACAGCAAAAGUAAUGUUUUUGGUAUUUUGUAGUGAUUGUAACAGUAGCAACGGGAAAGUAAAUAAGCGAGAACCAGUAUAUGGAAAACUCGUAGGCACCGGAUCAGUGAUGGAUAAUUAUGCCGGAUGCGGUUCAUCAUGUAAUAGUCAUAACAUAGGAUGACACAGAACUAGCUCCAAUUCAUCAAUGUAAUGUAGGCAUGUAUUCCGAAUAUAGUCAUACGUGCUUAUGGAAAAGAACUUUCAUGACAUCUUUUGUCCUACCCUCCCGUGGCAGCAGGGUCCUAUUGGAAACUAAGGGAUAUUAAGGCCUCCUUUUAAUAGAGAACCGGAACAAAGCAUUAGCACAUAGUGAAUACAUGAACUCCUCAAACUAUGGUCAUCACCGGGAGUGGUCCUGAUUAUUGUCACUUCGGGGUUGCCGGAUCAUAACACAUAGUAGGUGACUAUAGACUUGCAAGAUAGGAUCAAGAACUCACAUAUAUUCAUGAAAACAUAAUAGGUUCGGAUCUAAAAUCAUGGAACUCGGGCCCUAGUGACAAGCAUUAAGCAUAGCAAAGUCAUAGCAACAUCAAUCUCAGAACAUAAUGGAUACUAGGGAUCAAACCCUAACAAAACUAACUCGAUUACAUGAUAAAUCUCAUCCAACCCAUCACCGUCCAGCAAGCCUACGAUGGAAUUACUCACGCACGGCGGAGAGCAUCAUGAAAUUGGUGCUGGAGGAUGGUUGAUGAUGACGACGGCGACGAAUCCCCCUCUCCGGAGCCCCGGACGGACUCCAGAUCAGCCCUCCCGAGAGGUUUUAGGGCUUGGCGGCGGCUCCGUAUCGUAAAACAUGAUGAUUUCUUCUCUCUGAUUUUUUUCUCUCCGAAAGCAAAUAUAUAGAGUUGGAGUUGGCGUCGGAGGGCAUCCAGGGGGCCCAUGAGGUAGGGGGCGCACCCCCCACCCUCGUGGACAGGGUGUGGGCCCCCUGGUCUUCAUCUUUGGCGAGGAUUUUUUAUUAUUUUUUCUAAGAUGUUCCGUGGAGUUUCAGGUCAUUCCGAGAAUAUUUGUUUUCUGCACAUAAAACAACACCAUGGCAAUUCUGCUGAAAACAGCGUCAGUCUGGGUUAGUUCCAUUCAAAUCAUACAAGUUAGAGUCCAAAACAAGGGCAAAAGUGUUUGGAAAAGUAGAUACGAUGGAGACGUAUCAUUGCCCAACAGUAAUUUGUUUACCCACCGUUUGUUAUUUUUCUCGAGAGAAGCCACUAGUGAAACCUACGGCCCCCGGGUCAUCUUUCUCAUAUAUUUGCCUUGCGAUCUAGUUUUCCUUUGCAUUUUUAUUCAGAUCCAUUGAACCAAAAAUCCAAAAAUACCUUGCUGCCAUUUAUUUUAUUUGGCAUUCGAUCUAUCAAUAUUUACAACUUUAUCUCCCAUUACUCGCCGUUACCCGAAAGGGAUUGACAACCCCUUUAACACGUGGGUUGCGAGGUGUUGUUAUUUGUGUGCAUGGGAUGUUUACGUUGUGUUGCUUGGUUCUCCUACUGGUUCGAUAACCUUGGUUUCAUAACUGAGGGAAAUACCUACCGUCGAUGUGCUACAUCAUCCCUCCCUCUCCAGGGAAAUACCGACAUAGUUCCAGCUACCAUCAGGCGCCUCCAAGAUACGUGGUUCCCUUUAUGGGUCGAACCUUUAUGACAACAUACGUGGUUCCCUUUGUCUGUCGGUAUGUUACUUGCCCGAGAUUCGAUCGUCGGUCUCUUUACUCGUUAUGUAAUACAUCAUCUUGUAACUAACUCCUUAGUCACUUUGCUUGAAGCUUCUUGUGAUGAUGUAUUACCGGGAGGGCCCAGAGAUACCUCUUCUAUACAUAGAGUGAAAAAUCCCAAUCUCGAUCCAUGCCAACUCAACAGACACCUUCGGAUAUAUCUGUAGAGCAUCUUUAUGAUCACCCAGUUACGUUGUGAAAUUUGAUAGCACACAAGGCAUUCCUCCGGUAUACGGGAGUUGCAUGAUCUCAUGGUUCAAGGAAUAUGUAUUUGACAUUAAGAAAGCAGUAGCAAUAAACUGAACAAUCAUAUGCUAAGCUAACAGAUGGGUCUUUUCCAUCACAUCAUUCUCCUAAUGAUGUGAUCCUGCUAUCAAGUGAAAAAACAUGUCUAUGGUUAGGAAACCUUAACCAUCUUUUGAUCAACGAGCUAGUCUAGUAGAGGCUCACUAGGGACACGGUAUUUGUUUAUGUAUCCACAUAUGUAUUUAAGUUUCCGGUCAAUACAAUUCUAGCAUGAAUAAUAAACCUUUAUCAUGAAUAAGGAAAUAUAAUAAUAACAAUUUUAUUUUUGCCUCUAGGGCAUAUUUCCAAGAUUCUCCCAUUUGCACUAGAGUCAAUAAUCUAGAUUACAUAGUAAAGAAUCAAACACCCAUGGAGUCUUGGUGCUGAUCAUGUUUUGCCCGCGGAAUAGGUUUAGUUAAUGGGUCUGCCACAUUCAGAUUCGUAUGUACUUUGCAAAUUUCUAUGUCUCCAUCCUUGACCUUUCCAUGAAUGGAGUUGAAGCGUCUCUUGAUGUGUUUGGUUCUCUUGUGAAACUUGGAUUCCUUCGCUAAGGCUAUUGCUCAAGUGUUCUCACAAAAUAUUGUCAUUGGACCCAAUGCACUGGGUAUUACAGCUAGAUCAGAUACGAACUCCUUCAUCCAGACUCCUUCAUGAGCUGCUUCCGAAGCAGCUAUGUACUUCGCUUCACACGUAGAUCCCACCACGACGCUUUGCUUGGAACUGCACCAACUGACAGCUCCACCAUUCAAUAUAAGUACGUAUCUGGUUUGGGACUUAGAGUCAUCCGGAUCUAUGUCGAAGCUAGCAUCGACAUAAACCUUUAUGACGAGCUCUUCGUCACCUCCAUAAACGAGAAACAUAUCCUUGGUCCUUUUCAAGUACUUCAGGAUAUUCUUGACCGUUGUCCAAUGAUCCACUCCUGGAUUACUUUGGUACCUCCCUGCCAAACUUAUGGCAAGGCACACAUCAGGUAUGGUACACAACAUGGAAUACAUAAUAGAACAUGUGGCUGAGGCAUAGGGAAUGACUUUCAUUUUCUCUCUAUCUUCUGUCGUGGUCAGACUUUGAGUCUGACUCAAUUUCACACGUUGCAACACAGGCAAGAACCCUUUCUUUGACUGUUCCAUUUUGAACUUCUUCAGAACUUUGUCAAGGUAUGUGCUUUGUGAAAGUCCUAUUAAGCGUCUCGAUCUAUCCCUAUAAAUCUUGAUUCCCAAUAUAUAAGCAGCUUCACCAAGGUCUUUCAUUGAAAAGUUCUUAUUCAAGUAUCCUUUUAUGCUAUCCAGAAAUUCUACAUCAUUUCCAAUCAAUAAUAUGUCAUCCACAUAUAAUCAAAAAUGCUACACAGCUCCCACUCACUUUCUUGUAAAUACAGCCUUCACCGUAAGUCUGUAUAAAACCAUAUGCUUUGAUCACAUCAUCAAAGCAUAUAUUCCAACUUCGAGAUGCUUGCACCAGUCCAAAAAUGGAUCGUCGGAGCUUGCACACUUUGUUAGCACCUUUAGGAUCAACAAAACCAUCUUGUUGCAUCAUAUACAACUCUUUUUUAAGAAACCUGUUAAGGAAUGCAGUUUUGACAUCUAUUUGCCAGAUUUCAUAAUCAUAAAAUGCAGCAAUUGCUAACAUGAUUCGGACAGACUUAAGCAUCGCUACGGGUGAGAAAGUCUCGUUGUAGUCAAUCCCUUAAAAUUGUUGAAAACCUUUCGCGAUAAGUCGAGCUUUAUAGACAGUGAUAUUACCAUCAGCGUAUGUCUUCUUAUUGAAGAUCCAUUUAUUCUCAAUGGCAUGCCGAUCAUCGGGCAAGUCCACCAAUGUCCACACUUUUUUCUCAUACGUGGAUCCUAUCUCAGAUUUCAUGGUCUCAAGCCAUUUGUCGGAAUCUGGGCUCAUCAUAGCUUCUUCAUAGUUCGUAGGUUCAUCGUUGUCUAACAACAUGACUUCCAGGACAGGAUUACCGUACCACUCUGGUGUGGUACGUGUUCUGGUCGACCUACGAGAUUCAGUAGUAACUUGAUCUGAAAUUUCAUGAUCAUCAACAUUAGCUUCCUCUCUAGUUGGUGUAGGCAUCAUGGUAACGGUUUUCUCUGAUGUGCUACUUUCCAAUUCGAGAGAAGGUACAGUUACCUCAUCAAGUUCUACUUUCCUCCCACUCACUUCUUUCGAGAGAAACUCCUUCUCUAGAAAUGACCCAUUCUUAGCAAUAAAGAUCUUGCCUUCGGAUCUGUGGUAGAAGGUGUACCCACACUACUAGGGAAAACCUUAUACACAGAACUUUAGCAGUAGCGCGGGUCAAAGAAGCACGCUGGUGCUAAGUAGCAGUAGCGCGCCUAUGCAAACCGCGCUGUAGAUAAAGUUUUAGCAGUAGUGUGUCUUGUUCUAAACACGUUACUACUAAAAUUCCCACGGCUUAGCCGAUAGGCUACACAUAGUAGUAGCGACCUAUAUCGAACCGUGCUACCGCUACUUUCUUUGUAGCAGCACGUUUUAUCUAAACUUGCUACUGCUAAAGGAUAUAAAAUUAAAUGGAAAGCACAUAGAAAGGUAAUUGAAAAUGAAAGAAAUAGAAUAAGGUGAAAGGAAAAAAUAAAAUGUGAAUAAAACUAAAGGAAAAAGGGGGAAAGAGAAAGGAGUAGCAGUAGUGUGUAUCCCAGAACGCGUUGUAGCUAACGUAGCAGUAGCGCGCUUUCUGGAACGCGCUACUGCUACUUCUGACUUAACGACGGGGUUCAUCCUUCCCCGCGGCCACUUCCCCCAAAUCCAGCUCUCCACUCUCGCCGCCACUGUCGCCCGUCGGCCGCCGCGCGCUCUCCGCACACCCUCUACGCCGCCCCCGACCCCAGAUUCAACGCCGCCCCGCCCCGACCGCAACGCCGCCCUCGACCCCGACCUCGACGCCGCCAUCCGCCAUGCGCCCGAGCCCCGACCCCGACCUCGACACCGCCUGCCCCUCCCUCAUUGCAGGCACCCGAGGUGAGCACGCCUGCUCCUCCCUCUCCCCUGCCUCUGCCUAGGGUUUCUUUAUAUUUUAGUUGCAUCAAAUUAGUUAGGGUUCAUGUAAGGGUGGAAACGAAUCGGAUGCGGAUGCGGCUCAAAUGAGUUAGGGUUCAUCUAAGGGUGGAAACGAAUCAAAUUUCUAAGAUGAAUCAUAAAACGAGUGAAAUUUGACCACUUAUUUCACUUUAUAGUUAGAUAAUUGGAAUAUCCGCUACCACUUUCCACCCCUAGCUUCAUCAAAUUAGAUGGUAAUUAGGGCAGUAGUUCCUAGGUACUAAUUAGUUAGUAAGAACUAGGUACUAAUUAGGUACUAGUUUAUUUUUAUUUAUAGUAAGUUUAUUUUUAAUAAGAACUAGUUGAAUUAAUAGAACUAGUUAAUAAGAACUUGUUGCUAUUUUUUAUUUAAAGCAAUUUUUCCUGCAUCGACGUGGACGAUGCCUAUCCCGCAUCCUCGUCGUCGAGUCGGCGGAGGACGACACCUGCUUGACCAGAUGGGCCAUGUCCGGGACUGGGCUCCGCCGGGGUGGUACUGGGAGGCGCUACCUAUCGGGGGGCGCAGGUUGGUGAGGAGCCAGCCUGUCAUUGACCCGAACCUUCUUUGGUGGCGGUCGCGUGGGCCAGUGAUGGUCCAGAGGCUCGAGGACCCCGCGGAGGUGGUGCGUCACCGUGUCAGUGAGGAGGGCGUGCACGUCCAUCGCUACUUGUUUGCGUUGGAGCACAGGUUCUCCAAUACCUGGCAGGUUCUCCAGGGAUCUCACUAGAGCUAUGACCCCGUGAUGGUUCCUUCUCUGUGGGUGUCCACCGCCCGCGCCGAUACCCGUAGUGUGCUAGGGUUUUAGUUGUAUUAGUGAUGUUAUAUGUAUGACACUAUUCGGGAUGUAUUAGUGAUAAUAUUCGACGAUGUAUUGAUGCAUGAGAUGAUUUACUUUUGCUUAUUGAAUGCAUGCUAAUUUGAGUCCUAUAAGAUAUUUUGAAAUGUAUAUCUUGUGUUGCUCAAAUAGGAUAUGUGCUUGCCCAAGUGGCCGGUCAUGUUUGCAGGUUACACCUCCGAGUGGCCUAUGUUUUGCCGGAGUGUUGAUUCAUUUCCGUUCCGGCAAAUUUCAGGCGCUCGAUAUGUCCUAUUUUAGAAAAGGACAUGCCGGAUUUUUCCAUGAAUUUUGGCAUGACUUGUUCCAGAAGAUGUAGGAAAUAUCGAGUGCCCCGGAUUUGUGUGUUGAAUAUCCUGGUAGUUGUCUUUGAUGGAUUUUCAAUUAAUGUUUUAACUAUGAAUAUAGGAAAUGUCUGAUGACGAAAAGGAUUUCGGUAUUUGCAAAUACUGCGAAGACGAGCGCGGCCUAUGCGACGGAAUCUUCCUAGAUGAUGAUAGGCGCUUCAGCAUCAAGCUGGACGAGAACUUCGAAGUGAAUAUAGUAAGUCACAACGACAAGUCUUCUUUCGUAAUUAAGCAUGACAUUUGCUUCAACUUAUAAUUUAAGCAUGACAAGUCUUUUUUUUACUAUUCUACUAGCGUAUCCCCUGCCAUGCAAGAGUUUUUGUAUUUGAUAAGAUAGGUUUCAGUCGUACUAUGGAGGACAAUAAAGUUUACUUGAAGACCGAGCAUGGUUAUAUUUUCCAUGCAAAAUUAUACAAUUCAGACGAGUACACCUAUUUUGGAUGCAAAACAUGGCGAGCACUAUGCAAGACUUAUGCAUUUGAGCCUGAUAUGGUUAUCACCUUUGAUAUUCGUCCGGAAGAUGAUAUUGAAGGUAAUUCCGACAUCUGGGUCGAUGUGCAGACACCUCUAGUUAUACCAUUAUGUAAGUUUCUCAACCAUAUUUAUGUCUUUGAUAUUGUUUAUUCAAAAAUAGUUGACAACUAAUUUGUAUUGUCAGCUUAUUUCGGUGCAAGCAAACAUGUCCAGCGCUUGGUAGACAGGACCUACUAUUGUCCCGAGGCUGAACUAAACUGCGAGGAGUUAAGUCAUUAUGUUUCAUGGCUUGAGGAUCUUGAUACUGUCAAGACAAAUUUUCUUCCUGCAUUUAGAAAUGUUAGUACUGAAAACGUGUAACCAAUAGUGUUUGUAAUGAACUACGGUCACAUCUAUUUAGGAAGGAUGGUAAGAUUUUUACUAUUUGUCCUCAGUGCAUCUUUUCCAUACAUUAUUUUUGAAGCUAAACUUCAUUGCUAAGUAUGUUACCAUACGAUGUUCUUCAACAGGGACUCCCGAUGAAUGUUGUGCCUUAUGGGAUCGAGACUAAAGGUACCAUGAGUAUUAUUAGCUUACGGCCAAGAUAUCCUACAUAUUACUUUAGUGCAUUCAAGAUUAGCGACGGAUGCUUAAUAGUGCAAGACUGGACCAAAUGUGUGAUGGAGAAGCGCAGAGAAGUACUAGGGGGCAGCAAACAGAUGCGCUACCCACGAUUAGGAGACGGGUUCAUCUGCAUGCUCCAACUUGAUCAAGGAGGAGAGCUACACAUGUUUUAUGUUAUUUUACCUAAGAGAGAGCAGCAGGAGUGAUUAGCUAGCUAGAAAUGAGUUUGAGGAUGAUGAUGUGCUACACUAUUACUAUGAUGCUAAAAUAGCUAGUGUUGGUGGUAAUGACUAUGAUGAUUAUUAUUAGCUAGUGUUAGUGGUGAUUAAAUAAAUACUUUUGGUGGUAAUGACUAUGAUGAUGAUUAAAUAGCUUGUGCUGGCGGAUUAGAUUCAAGUGGAAACAACAUGUGGUGCACAUCGAAAGUACUACUAGUCCAAACUGAUCAAGUUUGGAUUAGUAGUAUACUUUUGACAUGCACCACAUAUUGCCUCCACUUGUACCUAAUCCACCUUCAUUUGACACACUGUUAUGGACAUAAUGAUGUAAACCUCAUAAGUGGUAUUGUACCAAUAUUUGUACGAUGGCGCAUAAAUACACUAAAAAAAAGAAUACUAAUAGUGAUGGAGAGAAAACACGCUGCCAGUAGUUACAAUAGCAGUAGCGUGGGAGUGAACAAAUGCUGCAGCUAUUUGUCCUAGCAGUAGCGCGUGCGGGCAUGCGUUACUGCUAAGCAAUAGAUGUAGCGCCUUAUUAGUACCGUGCCUACCCGCGCUACUAGUGAGCACAAAACCAGCGCUACUGCUAGGGUUUUCCCUAGUAGUGCCAAUAGUUUAUUUAGGGUAUCCUAUGAAGGCGCGCUUCUCCAAUUUGGGUCCGAGCUUAUCAGGUUGAAUCCUUUUCACAUAAGGGUUGCAUCCCCAAACUUUAAGAAACGGCAGCUUGGGUUUCUUACCAAACCAUAGUUCAUAUGACGUCGUCUCAAUGGAUUUAUAUGGUACCCUAUUUUAACGUGAAUGUGCAUGUCUCUAAUGCAUAACCCCAAAAUGAUAAAGUCAAAUCGGUAAGAGACAUCAUAGAAUGCAUCGUAUCUAAUAAAGUACGGUUACAAUGUUCGGACACACCAUUACGCUGUGGUGUUCCAAGUGACGUGAGUAAUGAAACAAUUCCACAUUGUUUUAAACGAAGACCAAACUCGUAACUCAAAUAUUCACCUCCACUAUCAGAUCAUAGAACUUUAUUUUCAUGUUACGAUGAUUCUCUACUUCACUCUGAAAUUCUUUGAACUUUUCAAAUGUUUUAGACUUGUGUUUCAUCAAGUAGAUAUACCCAUACCUACUCAAAUCAUCUGUGAAGGUCAGAAAAUAACGAUAGCCACCGCGUGCCUCAACACUCACCGGACCGCAUACAUCGGUAUGUAUUAUUUCCAAUAAGUCAUUAGCUCGCUCCAUUGUUCCGAAGAACAGAGUUUUAGUCAUCUUAACCAUGGGGCAUGGUUCGCAACUAUCAGAUGAUUCAUAAUAAAGUGAUUCCAAAAGUCCACCCGCAUGGAGUUUCUUCAAGCGCUUUACACCAACAUGACCUAACGGCAGUGCCACAAGUAUGUUGCACUAUCAUUAUCAACUUUGCAUCUUUUGGCAUCAAUAUUAUGAAUAUGUAUAUCACUAUGAUCGAGAUUCAACAAGAAUAGACCAUUCAUCAAAGGUGCAUGACCAUAAAAGAUAUUACUCAUAUAAAUAGAAUAGCCAUUAUGCUCUGACUUAAAUGAAUAAUUGUCUCGCAUUAUACAAGAUCCAGAUAUAAUGUUCAUGCUCAACGCUGACACCAAAUAGCAAUUAUUGAGGUCUAAAACUAAUCCCGAAGGUAGAUAUAGAUAUAGCGUGCUGACGAUGGUCACAUCGACCUUGGAACCAUUCCCGACGCGCAUCGUCAGUUCGUCACCUUGUCCUUAGCCAAUCUUCAUUUAUUCCGCAGCUCAUGUUUCGAGUUACAAAUAUGAGCAAUCUAACCAGUAUCAAAUACCCAAGCGCUGCUACGAGCAUUAGUAAGGUACACAUCAAUAACAUGUAUAUCAAUAUACCUUUGUUCACUUUGCCAUCCUUCUUAUCCGCCAAGUAUUUGGGGCAGUUCUGCUUCCAGCGACCAUUCCCUUUGCAGUAGAAGCACUCAGUUUCAGGCUUGGGUCCAGUUUUGGGCUUCUUCACGGGAGCAGCAACUUGCUUGCCAUUCUUUUUGAAGUUCCCUUUCUUUCCCUUGCCCUUUUUCUUGAAACUAGUGGUCUUGUUAACCAUCAACACUUGAUGCUCCUUCCUGAUUUCUACCUCCGUGGCUUUAUGCAUUGUGAAGAGCUCGGGAAUCAUUUUCAUCAUCCCUUGCAUAUUAUAGUUCAUCAUGAAGCCUUUGUAGCUAGGUGGCAGUGACUGAAGAACUCUGUCGAUAACACUCUCAUCUGGAAGAUCAAUUCCCAGCUGAGUCAAGUGGUUAUGGUACCCAGACAUUUUGUGUAUGUGUUCACUGACAGAACUGUUCUCCUCCAUCUUAUAGCUAUAGAACUUGUUGGAGACUUCAUAUCUCUCAACCCGGGCAUUAGCUUGAAAUAUCAACUCUUGGAACAUCUCAUAUGCUCCAUGGCGUUCAAAACGUCUUUGAAGUCCCGGUUAUAAGCCGUAAAGCAUGGCACACUACACUAUUGAGUAAUCAUCAGAUCGAGCCUGCCAGAUGUUCAUAACAUCUAUAGUAGCUCCUGCAGCAGGUCUGUCACCUAGCGGUGCAUCAAGGACAUAAUUCUUCUGUGCUGCAAUGAGGAUAACCCUCAAGUUACCGACCCAGUCCUUGUAGUUGCUACCAUCAUCUUUCAACUUAGCUUUCUCUAUGAACGCAUUAAAAUUCAAGGGAAUGGUAGCACGGGCUAUUGAUCUACAACAUAGAUAUGCAAAAACUAUUAAGAAUAAGUUCAUGAUAAAUUUUAGUUCAAAUAAUGAAAUUACUAAUGAACUCCCACUUAAAUCAACAUCCCUCAAGUUGUCUAAGUGAUAGAUGAUCCAAAUCAACUAACCCUUGUCUGAUCAUCACAUGAGAUGGGGUAGUCUUCAAUGGUGAACAUCUCUAUGUUGAUCAUAUCUACUAUAUGACUCAGGUUCGACCUUUCGAUCUCUAGUGUUCCGAGACCAUGUCUGUACAUUCUAGGCUCGUCAAGUUUAACCCAAGUAUUUUGCAUGAGCAAAACUGGCUUACACCCGUUGUAUGUGAACAUAGAGUCUAUCACAACCGAUCAUCACGAGGUGCUUCAAAACGACGAACUUUGGCAACGGUGCAUACUCAAGGAGAACACUUUUAUCUUAAAAUAAAGUGAAGGGACCAUCUUAUAAUGCUACCAUCGUUCUAAGCAAAAUAAGAUGCAUAAAGGAUAAACAUCAGAUGCAAUCAAAAUAUGUGACAUGAUAUGGCCAUCACCAUCUUGUGCUUUUGAUCUCCAUCUCCUACGCAUGGGCAUGAUCUCCAUUGUCACUGGCACGACACCUUGAUCUCCAUCGUAGAGUCGAGGUCAUCUCACCAACUAUUGCUAACGCAUAGCGAUAAAGUAAAGCAAUUACAUGGCGCUUAGUGAUUGACACAUAGGUCAUACAAUAAUUAAAGACAACCCUAAGGCUCCUAACGGUUGUCGUACUCAUCGACAUGCAAGUCAUGAACUUAUUACAAAACAUGAUCAUCUCAUACAUCAACAUAUAUCACAUCAUAUCUUGACCAUGUCACAUCACAACAUGCCCUGCAAAAACAAGUUAGACGCCCUCUACUUUGUUGUUGCAAGUUUUACGUGGCUGCUAUGGGGAACUAGCAAGAACCGUUCUUACCUACGCAAAACCACAAUGGUGAUUAUCAAGUUUGUUAUUUUAACCUUCUAUAAGUACCGGCCAUAGUCAAAUUUGAUUCAACUAAAGUCAGAGAAACAAACACCUGCCAGCCACCUUUAUGCAAAACAAGUUGCAUGUCAGUCGGUGGAACCAUCUCAUGUGUGUGGAUAUGUAAGGUUGGUCCGGGACGCUUCACCCCACAACGCCGCCGAAUCAAAAUAAUAUGUUGGUGGUAAGAAGUAUGACCAUCACCGCCCACAUUUCCUUUCUGUUCUACUCGUGCAUAUCAUCUACGCAUAGACCUGGCUCAUGAUGCCAUUGUUGGGGAACAUUGCAUGGAACACAAAAAAAUUUAUAUGCACACGCAAUAUCUAUCCAUGGAGAUUCAAAGCUAUGAAGAGGGGGAGAGCAUCUACAUACCCUUGUAGAUCGCUAAGCGGAAGCAUUUAUCAAUGCGGUUGAUGUAGUCGUACACCUUCAUGAUCCGUCCCGAUCAAGUACUGAACGUAUGGCACCUCCGCGCUCAACACAUGUUCAGCUUGAUGACGUCCUUGCCUUCUCGAUCCAGCAAGAGAGGCGAAGUAGUAGAUGAGUUCCAGCAGCAUGACGGCAUGGUGAUGGAGGUGGUGAAACUAUCUGCAGGGCUUCGCCAAGCACAAUGGACGUGGACAGAGGAGUAACUAGAACUAGAGGGAGAUGGGGCANNNNNNNNNNNNNNNNNNNNNNNNNNNNNNNNNNNNNNNNNNNNNNNNNNNNNNNNNNNNNNNNNNNNNNNNNNNNNNNNNNNNNNNNNNNNNNNNNNNNNNNNNNNNNNNNNNNNNNNNNNNNNNNNNNNNNNNNNNNNNNNNNNNNNNNNNNNNNNNNNNNNNNNNNNNNNNNNNNNNNNNNNNNNNNNNNNNNNNNNNNNNNNNNNNNNNNNNNNNNNNNNNNNNNNNNNNNNNNNNNNNNNNNNNNNNNNNNNNNNNNNNNNNNNNNNNNNNNNNNNNNNNNNNNNNNNNNNNNNNNNNNNNNNNNNNNNNNNNNNNNNNNNNNNNNNNNNNNNNNNNNNNNNNNNNNNNNNNNNNNNNNNNNNNNNNNNNNNNNNNNNNNNNNNNNNNNNNNNNNNNNNNNNNNNNNNNNNNNNNNNNNNNNNNNNNNNNNNNNNNNNNNNNNNNNNNNNNNNNNNNNNNNNNNNCGGGAGGGGCUAGCCCUCCCCUCCUUUCCUUCCCUAGGGUCGGCGGCCUAGAGGUGGGGCGCACCAGCCCCUUAUGGGCUGGUGUGCUUCCCUCGUUAGCCCAAUAACUCCCCGUGGCCUUCCCGGAACACCUUCAGGUGAUCCGAUAAAUACUCGGUGCAUUCUGAAACCUUUCCGGUGACCAAAUAGUAUCGUCCUAUAUAUUGAUCUUUACCUCCGGGCCAUCCCGGAGCUCCUCGUCAUGUUUGUGAUCUCGUUCGGGACUCCGAACAACAUUCGGUCUCUAUUUCACAUAACUCAUAUAAUACUAUAUCGUCAAUGAACGUCAGGCGUGCAGACCCUACGGGUUUGAGAAUGAUGUAGACAUGACCGAGAUGCUUCUCUGGUCAAUAACCAAUAGCAGGACCUAGAUGUUCAUAUUGGUUCCUACAUAUCCUACAAAGAUAUUUAUCGGUCGAACCUUUAUGACAACAUACAUUGUUCCCUUUGUCUGUCAGUAUGUUACUUGCCCGAGAUUCGGUUGUCGGUAUCUCCAUACCUAGUUCAAUCUCAUUACUGACAAGUCUCCUUACUCAUUCCAUAAUACAUCAUCUUGUAACUAACUCCUUAGUCACUUUGCUUCCAAGCUUCUUGUGAUGAUGUAUUACCGAGAGGGCCUAGAGACACCUCUCCGAUACACAUAGUGGUUAUUUAGCAAUUUCAUCAAAACUCCUUUAAUGUUUUGAUUUUCCAUAAGUAUGGUUUGAUGAUCAAAAGGUUCUGCACUAGUGGCGGGAACAUCAUUUACUUUGUCAAAUUCAAACAUGAUUGCAACUUCAAGCAAACAAACUAGCAAAGUAAUUUUUGUGUUUUUGAUAUUUUUGUAAUGAGAUUAAUAAAAGAAAAUAAAGAAAAUAAGAGCAAGUAAAUGAUGAUUUGAGUGUAGGUACUUGUAGGUUUUGGAUGAUGUCUCCCUGGCAACGACGCCAGAAAUUCUUUCUGCUACUUGUGAGCUACGUUGGGUUUUUCCCCGAAGAGGAAGGGUGAAGUAAUAUAGUAGCUGAUAAGUAUUUCCAUCGGUGAGAACCAUGUUUAUCAUACCGAUGGGAGAAUCACACCAAGCCUAGUGAACACUACCUACACGCACAAGAGCAAAUACUUGCACCCAAUGCGGGUAAGAGGGUUGUCAAUCGCUUGAACUCGUUACUUGCAAGGAUUAAAUCUGGUAUGGUAGAUAUAUAAAUUCCAAAACAAAAUAAAAAUAAGUAAAUUGCAGCAAUGUAUUUUUGGUUUUCAUAAUAUGAUAAAAGUAGACCCCGGGGCCAUAGUUUUCACUAGAGGCUUCUAUCUUGAAACAUAGCAUACGGUGGGAGAGCAAAUUACUGUUGGGCAAUUGAUAGAAAAUUGCAUAGUUAUGAUGUUAUUCACAACAAUGAUCAUGUAUAUAGGCAUUACGUCCAUGACAAGUAGUGAUAGGGGCUAAGGUGUCCCGAUGUUUCGAUGAGAUAGUGGCUAUCGUUUUCUGUGGGAGUCGACCUUGACGAUCCGACUACGAACGUGCGAGACGUCGCGCCUUGGCAAUCACUAAACCAACUUCCGAGGGUUAUUGACCACGCCGGAGCACGAUCAACCUGACCACGAGGGUCUGUUUCCUGCGAGCAAAGGAAGAACAAGCAAGAAACUGAGAUCGCAAUCGGGAUAUUGCGAAUAUAGGAUGAAAGCUUUAUUGAUCAAGGCGGGGUUCUGUGACGUCUUGGUCUGGUCGUUGGACACAAACGAAGUACGCGAAGUUGCAGCUAUGGCGAACUUUUAAUCUAAACAAAACCCAAAGUCUAAACGACGCCCUAAGGGCUGUAUAUAUGGAGGAAGAGGGGGGAAUUUCGUGGCCCUUGAGGGUGGGGUCCGAAACCAACCCUAACUCUUGUUUCCCCACACAUACGGACUCUAAAAAUAGCCUAUACUUAAGUAUUUCGAAAUUACAUGGGCCUGGCCCAUUAAUAAGGUGACGCAGCACCUAGAAUAGCCUAUGGAUGAAUAUUAUGAAGUGGCAUCUUGUAUAUUUCGUCCAAGGCUUCAUGCACUCCUUAUGGCGGCUUUAAAGUCCUGAAAUCAUCACUUGUAACUCCGUUCUUGAUCCCCUUGCGCAUGCCAUCAACUCCAUGUGUGUUCUUGCUCCAAUGUUCAUCCUUCUCCAAGCUAGGCCCUUCAUUUGUAAGCAAAACAAAUGUAUCCAAUUUAGGCAGCAUCAUAAUCUCAUAAACAUUAGAAUCAUUACCAAGAAACGAAAGUACCUGGUAAUUUAAUUGGCGUGCGUGAGCUCUAGUAAUUGGUCCAGUAUAUGUAACAGUAGGGGCUGUGGGUGUAACAAUGGUAUUGAUGUCCUCAUCAUCCUCCCCUUCUUGAAAUGAAGUCAUCCUCGAUGGAAGCGCAUCUUCCUCACCCAAAUAAGGCUUCAAAUCUGCAAUGUUAAAAGUGGGACUAACCCCAAAAUCUACAGGUAGCUCAAGUUUAUAUGCAUUAUCAUUUAUUUUCUCUAACACCUUAAAAGGACCAUCAGCACGUGGCAUUAGCUUUGAUUUGCGCAGAUUAGGAAAUCUAUCUUUACGCAAAUGUAACCAAACAAGAUCUGCAGGCGCAAACACAACAUGUUUUCUACCCUUAUCUCCAACAAGUUUAUAUUUAGCAUUCAUACGCUCAAUGUUUUCCUUGGUUAACUCAUGCAUUUUUAAAAUCAAUUCAGAACGUUCUUUAGCAUCAAAAUUAACCUUCUCUGAAGAUGGAAGAGGCAACAAAUCAAUAGGUGCACGAGGUAGGAAACCAUACACAAUUUCAAAAGGUCACAUCUUAGUAGUAGAAUGCAAUGAACGAUUAUAAGCAGAUUCAAUAUGAGGCAAGCAUUCUUCCCACAUUUUCUUGUUAUUCUUCAAAACAGCCCUAAGCAUAGUAGACAAUGUUCUAUUGACUACCUCAGUUUGUCCAUCAGUUUGGGGGUGACAAGUAGUACUAAAAAGCAGCUUAGUCCCCAACUUAGCCCAUAAACAUCUCCAAAAGUGGCUAAAAAAUUUAGUAUCAUGAUCUGAAACAAUAGUAUUUGGCACACCAUGUAAGCGAAUAAUUUCACGAAAGAACAAAUCAGCAACAUUAACAGCAUCAUCACUUUUAUGACAUGGUAUAAAGUGUGCCAUUUUCGAGAACCUAUCCACGACAACAAAUAUGCUAUCCCUCCCCUUCUUUGUUCGAGGUAAACCUAAAACAAAGUCCAUAGAUAUAUCCUCCCAAGGAACACUAGGUGCAGGCAAAGGCAUAUAUAAACCAUGAGGAUUGAGUCGUGACUUAGCUCUUUGACAUGUAGUGCAGCGAGCAACAAAACGCUCAACAUCCCGUCUCAUCUUUGGCCAAAAGAAAUGUGUAGCAAGUAUAUCCUCUGUCUUCUUGACGCCAAAGUGUCCCAUUAAUCCUCCUCCAUGCGCCUCCUGCAACAACAAAAUAUGAACGGAGCUAGCUGGAAUGCAUAGCUUGUUAGCACGAUACACAAAUCCAUCGUUAAGAAUGAACUUGUUCCAAGUUCUCCCUUCCUUACAAUUCUGCAAUACAUCUUUAAAUUCAGCAUCAUGAACAUAUUGAUCUUUGAUGGUCUCCAAACCAAAUAUUUUAAAGUCAAGUUGUGAAAGCAUAGUAUAACGACGAGACAAGGCAUCAGCAAUAACAUUUUCUUUACCCUUCUUGUGUUUAAUGACAUAAGGGAAAGUCUCAAUGAAUUCAACCCAUUUAGCAUGUCUAGGGUUCAGUUUUGCUUGACUUUUAAUGUGUUUCAAAGAUUCAUGAUCAGAAUGUAUAACAAAUUCCUUGGGCCAUAAAUAAUGUUGCCAUGUUUCUAAGGUCCGAACAAGAGCAUAUAAUUCUUUAUCAUAAGUAGAAUAGUUCAGACUAGGCCCACUCAAUUUUUCAGAAAAGUAUGCAACAGGUUUUCCAUCUUGUAAUAACACACCUCCUAAUCCAAUUCCACUAGCAUCACAUCAAGCUCAAAAGUCUUAUUGAAAUUAGGAAGUUGGAGUAAAGGAGCAUGUGUCAACUUAUCUUUCAAUACCGUGAAGGCUUCUUCCUGUGCGGUAUCCCAAACAAAAGGCACAUCCUUCUUUGUAAGCUCGUUGAGAGGUGCAGCAAUGGUGCUGAAAUCUCUCACAAAACGCCUAUAGAAACCAGCGAGGCCAAGGAAACUCCUCACUUGUGUGACCGUUUUGGGCUGCGGCCAACUCUCAAUAGCUUCAAUCUUGGCUUUAUCAACUUCAAUUCCCUGUGGAGUAACAACAUAGCCAAGAAAAGAUACUCGGUCGGUGCAAAAGGUGCACUUUCCAAGGUUUCCAAACAAACGUGCAUCACGUAGAGCAAUAAAAACAGCACGUAAAUGUUCCAAAUGUUCCUCCAAAGAUUUGCUAUAAAUCAAUAUGUCAUCAAAGUAAACUACCACAAAUCGUCCAAUGAAAGCACGUAAAACUUCGUUCAUUAACCUCAUGAAAGUACUAGGUGCAUUAGUUAACCCAAAAGGCAUGACUAACCACUCAUAUAAUCCAAACUUAGUUUUAAAUGUUGUUUUCCAUUCAUCUCCCAAUUCCAUACGAAUUUGAUGGUAUCCACUACGCAAAUCAACUUUGGAGAAUAUUGUAGAGCCACUCAAUUCAUCAAGCAUAUCAUCUAGCCUAGGAAUAGGAUGACGAUAACGAAUAGUAAUAUUAUUAAUGCCUCUACAAUCAACGCACAUACACGACGUACCAUCCUUUUUCGGCAAUAAAAUGAUAGGAACAGCACAAGGACUAAGGGAUUCGCGUAUAUAACCUUUGUCGAGCAGUUCUUGUACUUGACGCAUAAUCUCCUUCGUCUCCUCUGGAUUGGUACGGCAUGGUACACGGUUGGGUAGCGAAGCACCGAGAAUUAAGUCAAUUUGAUGCUCAAUCCCUCGAAUAGGUGGUAAUCCCGGUGGCACGUCUUGUGGAAAGACGUCAGCGAACUCCUGCAAAAUGUUAGUGACAGCAGGGGGCAAAGAGGAAGGCACGUCCUCGAAUGAAAAUAAUACCUCUUUGCACACAAAAGCAUAGCAAACAGAUUUGCUAAACUCUAGCUCAUCAAUAUCAGAUUUGGUGGCAAGUAAACAUGCACUUUUCAAUUUAAUUUCAGAAACAACAGUAGGUGGUUUAUUAUUAGGCUUCAUUUGGUGCUCAAAUUCUUUUGACACAAUCUGAUUUUCACUCUUAUUUGUCUCCUGUUUUGCUUUAUUAGCUCUAUUAAUAUCAUCUUUCAAAAUGGAAUCAGGAGUCAUAGGAAGCAAAGUAAUAUUUUUAUCGUUAUGAACAAGAGUAUACUGAUUGUUUCUACCAUGGUGUACAGAAUUUUUAUCAAAUUGCCAUGGUCUACCAAGUAAUAAGGAACAUGCUUGCAUAGGUACCACAUCACAAUCAACAUAAUCAGCAUAUGUAGAGGUACUAAAAUGCACACGAACAGUACGUGUUACCUUAACCUUGCCGUUGUUGUUGAACCAUUGGAUGUAGUAAGGAUGUGGAUGUGGUCUUGUGGUGAGAGAUAGCUUCUCCACCAUCUCCAUGCUAGCCAAGUUAUUGCAGCUCCCUCCAUCUAUGAUCACGCGAACAGAACGUUCCUUCACAACUCCCUUUGUAUGGAACAAAUUAUGCCUCUGAUUUUGCUCAGCUUGUGUAACCUGCACACUCAAAACACGUUGAGCAACUAAACAUUCGUACCUGUCAGCAUCUUCAGGAAUCAUGUAUUGUGUCUCAUGAUCAGAAUCGUCUCCACCGUGUUCGUCACGUGUAAUAAGAGUCAAAGUCUCCUCAUCAUAGUCACUAGCGGACUCAUACCCACCAUCCUCAGUAACAAUCAUCACACGCUUAGAUGGGCAUUCUCUCGCAUAAUGACCUCCACCCUUGCAACGUCGACAAAUAAUAUCAUGUGUUUGCCCUGUUGAUGCCAUGGAUGAAGAAGAGCUCUUUGCAGGCCCAGAAGGUGUGCUCUUGGCAGAUAGUGGUGAUUGUGCCUGCUUUAUUGUAUCACGGUUGGAGGUGGCAGCCGACGGAGGCGCCGGUGUAGCAGAACGUGUGGAAGUAGAUGAUGCACGUGGUGUCCAUGAUGAAGGUCGACCUGCAGAAAAGUUAGUCCGCGCCAAUGCCUGUCGAUCCUGCACUUCACGUUCAGCUUUACAAGCAAGAUGGAAUAAACGAGUGAUAUUAGUAUACUCCUUAUACUCUAGAAUCGUCUGAAUCUCUCUAUUUAAUCCACCCAUAAAACGUGCAAGCAUAGCUUCAUUCUCCUCAACAAUACCACAUCUAAUCAUGCCAGUUUGUAAUUCCUGAUAAUAUUCUUCUACAGAAUUUUUUCCCUGUCUUAAGCGCUGCAAUUUUUGAAGUAAUUCACGUUGAUAAUAUGGUGAAACCCAACGAGUACGCAUAGCAGUUUUCAAAGCAGCCCAAGUAGCCGGAAUAGGAUAUAAUCUACAAUGCUCAGACCACCAAACACAUGCAAAACUAGUGAAUGCACAAACAGCAGCAGGAACACGUCUCUCCUCGGGAUAUUGUAAACAUGUAAAUCGUUGUUCAGUUUCUAACUCCCAAGUAAGAUAUAUAUCAGGAACAUAUCUACCCUCAAAUGGUGGAAUAUUCAAUUUUAGUUUAGGGAAAUGGUCAUGAUCUCGUACCUGAGGGUGAGCCCUACCAUUGCCAUUAUUUGCAUGUGGACGACCUGGUGGUUGUUGUGCUGGCGGUGGCACGUAGUUCUGAUUUUGAUCAACCUCAUCCUCAUAAUCUCCCACAUAAUCAUCCUCCUGCACAUCAGCAGUAGGAGCCACAGAAGUAUCAACAGCAGCACCAGCAGUUUGGCCCGACUGAAGAGGGACACGGCUCGCUCGGCGGAGGGCUGUUUCCCGACGUGGAGGUAGUCGGUGUUGUUGCUGUUGUUGCAGAGGUGCGGCAGGAGCAGCCGGUGGUGGUGGUGGAAAACGCGAAAGCAAUUCAGCAAACUUGUUAUCGAGCUUUGUUUCAAACGUCUUCUCCAUGCCAUCUAUCUUCUCCAUGGCCUCUUCAAAUCUUUUUAUCACAUCUUGCGCCUAUCCACUCAUCAUUUGCUGCAUGGGUAUAUGUGUAAAGGGCCAUAUCAGUGGACUGAGCUGCAUAUCAUGAAGCUCCUUGUUCGUCAAGUUCUCCCAGUCAGUCUCGUCGGCUUGUGAUCCUGGCAUGGUUAGCAUCAAUAGAAACACACAAGAAUAUGAUCCUACAGACUACUAACAAGUGGUGGUGGUGGCGGGUGUCACAAAUCCGUCAAGCAAAUCUCAAAUUCUUACCAGUUCUUACCCAGCAGCAGGCGGUGAUUGGCAACCGUUAUAGUCAAAACUCGCAAAAGCUUGGAUAGAGCGGUUGCCAGGGAGAGUCAAAUGCACGACAUAGAUGUAUGUGGAGCUGGGAAGGCUUAUAGUAUGGUAGCAAAAAGGGUCAGCAAUAAUCAAUUCAGAGAUGCAAAGUUGAAUAAACGCUCAACGACGGUACUGUGCUGGUCCUAGGCUAGACCGUGCUAGAGACGCGAGCCUAGAACACUAACAAAAUCACGGCGCUGCACGUAAAUAAGGGAAAAGCACACUCUGGAACUCUUUUUUUUGCGCUCCUUUUUUUUGCGCUCCUCUUUUUUUUGCGAAAAAUCACUAUAAUGGCGAGUGUCUCAAAACUCUUCCCUCGUCAAACUGAUAGGAUGGGCACGAAAUUUUUUUUCACUUUUUUUUAGAAAUCAGGGCAGCGACGACGAAAAAGUGCGACAGAAAAUCACUAUGAUGGCACGUGGCUCAAAAGACUCAGAAAAGCCUAAAAUAGGAUAGGGAAAAAAAAUUUGCCCGUGAAAAUUUUGGCCUAAAAACUGCCCGGGGGUCUCCAGACUCUUUUUUUUUUGAGACCUACGCAGGCAAGGAAACACGAAUCGGAAUUUAGAUUGAUCUCAAGAACAAACCUAAUAUGAGAAGAACUCGGAUUGGUGGUGGAUAUAUGGUUGUUGUAUAUGGCAGCGGUGGUGGUAUAUGGUAGCGGUGGUGGUAUAUGGAUACAGAUUGGUGGUGGUAUAUGGAUACGGAUUGGUGGUGGUAUAUGGAUAUGGAUUCAGAGCGGUGGCGGAUAAGCAAAAGUGAUAGAUGGGCGAUGAUGAUGGUGCGGCGGCGGCGUGACAACUUAUGACCAGAACUCGAAACUCUAAAAGACUAGACUCUAAGACCAGCAACUUGACACGACGAUGCAACCGCAAAUUCAACAAAGCAAAAACCCUAAAAAGAUUAUGCAAAGGCUCAGAUUGGUUCGGAUAUGAUGAACUAACCCUAAUUUUUUUUGUGGCUUUUUCGUGGACUGUAGGUAUGAAGAACAGACUCGAUCUAAUCUACGAAAAAUUGUAAAAUCUCACCGAGCAACCUGGAAUCUGAUACCACUUGAUAGGGGCUAAGGUGUCCCGAUGUUUCGAUGAGAUGGUGGCUAUCGUUUUCUGUGGGAGUCGACCUUGACGAUCCGACUACGAACGUGCGAGACGUCGCGCCUUGGCAAUCGCUAAACCAACUUUCGAGGGUUAUUGACCACGCCGGAGCACGAUCAACCUGACCACGAGGGUCUGUUUCCUGCGAGCAAACGAAGAACAAGCAAGAAACUGAGAUUGCAAUCGGGAUAUUGCGAAUAUAGGAUGAAAGCUUUAUUGAUCAAGGCGGGGUUCUGUGACGUCUUGGUCUGGUCGUUGGACACAAACAAAGUACGCGAAGUUGCAGCUAUGGCGAACUUUUAAUCUAAACAAAACCCAAAGUCUAAACGACGCCCUAAGGGCUGUAUAUAUGGAGGAAGAGGGGGGAAUUUCGUGGCCCUUGAGGGUGGGGUCCGAAACCAACCCUAACUCUUGUUUCCCCACACAUACGGACUCUAAAAAUAGCCUAUACUUAAGUAUUUCGAAAUUACAUGGGCCUGGCCCAUUAAUAAGGUGACGCAGCACCUAGAAUAGCCUAUGGACGAAUAUUAUGAAGUGGCAUCUUGUAUAUUUCAUCCAAGGCUUCAUGCACUCCUUAUGGCGGCUUUAAAGUCCUGAAAUCAUCACUUGUAACUCCGUUCUUGAUCCCCUUGCGCAUGCCAUCAACUCCAUGUGUGUUCUUGCUCCAAUGUUCAUCCUUCUCCAAGCUAGGCCCUUCAUUUGUAAGCAAAACAAAUGUAUCCAAUUUAGGCAGCAUCAUAAUCUCAUGAACAUUAGAAUCAUUACCAAGAAAUGAAAGUACCUGGUAAUUUAAUUGGCGUGCGCGAGCUCUAGUAAUUGGUCCAGUAUAUGUAACAGUAGGGGUUGUGGGUGUAACAAUGGUAUUGAUGUCCUCAUCAAGUAGACCGAAACAAUUUUGCAUCUACUACUAUCACUCCACCAAUCGACCGCUCUCCAGCAUGCAUCUAUGUUAUUAAGUUCAUAACAAACAGAGUAAUGCAUGAAGAAAGAUGACAUAAUGUAGGCAGAAUAAACUCAAGCAAUAUGAAUGAACCCCGUUGUUUUACCCUUAAUGGCAACAAUAAAAAUACAUGCCACGCUACCCCUUCUGUCACAAGGUGUGGACACCAUAAGAUUGAACCCAUUACAAAGCACCUCUGCCACUAAAGUUAAAUCAAUCUAGUUGGCCAUACCAAAUGGAUAGAUCAGAGAGAAAUACAAAGCUAUAACAAUCAUGCAUAAUAAAGUACAGCAAAGACUCAAUUACUUUCAACGAAUAAUCUGAUCGUAAACACACAAUUCAUCGGAUCCCAACAAACACACCGCAAAAGAAGAUUACAUUGGAUAGAACUCCAUGGAGAUCAUGGAGAAGAGAGAGAGAAGAAGCCAUCUAACUACUAGCUAUGGACCCGUAGGUCUGUGGUAAACUACUCACACAUCAUUGGAGGGCAGCAAUGUUGAUGUAGAAGCCCUCCAUGAUUGAUUACCCCUCCAGUAGAGUACCAGAAAAGGCCUUUAGAUGGGAUCACAAAAGAACAGAAGUUUGGGGCGGUGGAAAAAGUGUUUCGGGUGGCUCUCUGUUGGUUUCAGGGUUUAUGGGAAAUUAUGGAGUUCGAAUUUGGUUAAUCGGAGCUCUGUGGGUCCCACAAGGUCAGGUGGUGCGCCUGGUGAGCUUGUGGCGCUCCUGUAGCUCCCCUAGUCUCCUCCGGAGGCUCCAAGGGUCCCUUCUAGUCCAAACAAAAUUAUCAUAAAGUUUUAUCGUGUUUGGACUUUGUUUGAUGUUGAUUUCCUGAAAAAGUAAAAAAAAUGCAGAAAACAGGAACUGGCACUGGGCAUUGAGUUAAUAGGUUAGUUCCUCAAAAGGAUGUAAAAUUGCAUAUAAAGUAUCUAAAAUUUAUAAUAUAAUAGCAUCAAACAAUCAAAAAUUAUAGAUACAUUGCAGACGUAUCACAACGUAUCACAGAUCUAUCUAUACUAUCAAAGGGGAGGAUGUGGCCUUGAUGAUAUGUCGUGGUUUGGUUUGGUUUCGUAUGUUUGUCGGUUUCACAUCAAUAAUGGAGAGUAUAAUUCUUUGAAUGAGAGGAUCACUUUAAUUAUGGAGAGUAUCAUUAUUUCAACAUAAUGGUCACGUUAAUUAUGAAUUGAACGGGAAAUCGCAUUAAUUAUGAAAAGUAUCAUUUCGUGUUGGACGAAGGAUCACUAUAACAUGUAUGUUCUCCUUGCAAUGCGGGGGAAAUUAGCUAGUCAAUUUCAAAAGGGCAAACAACAUCCACCAACAACGAGUAGCUCUGGUAAUCCUUCCAUUCGUGCAGUCGCAUAAGUGAUUCAGGAGAGGGAAAAUGAUCAAACUAUCAAGUACAUUGGGGUGAAAAUUCGAAUAUGCCUAUCUGGUCUCUUUCAUGUGUGUUCUAUCCUAUUUGUAUAAGACAGCACAGAUGUACAUGUGUUUGUGCAGGCGCUACGCAACAAGGAGCUAGAGAUACUAGGUGGACGGGAAGCAGUUGCGGCGUGCAUGAGCUGCAUUAUCAGGCGGUGGCGAGCAACAACAACCACCAACAACAUGGAUGAGCAACCCUGGUAAUCCUUCCGUCCAUGCAGUCCCAUAAGUGAUUCUUCUGAUUACGGUAUUGAAUUAAGGGAAUAGAGGAUGAGAGGUACUUAGAUAAACCUUUUUUGGACCCUGAUAAGUGACGUACAUGUGGAAUGAACACAUGGCAACUCCGAAUAUUUUUAUGGCAAGUUUAGUGAUGCAAGUAUGACAACUUUAGUUGUCAAGCAUGACAACUUCCUUUUCGGAUGACAAGUUUUUUGGGGGGGUUAUUUUUUCUUUUCAGAUGGCAAAAUUAGUUGUAAAAAGGUCAUGCCUGGAGUGCUUCGUGCCACACGCAUGGCACUUAUCAUUUUCUUUUUACCAUUUAUCCUCAAAAGAACACAAAAGAAAAGAAUUCAAAUUAAUUCUCAAAAGAGAAAAGGUCAAAGUUGAUAUGUACGAUAGGGAAAGUGGUCUCUUACCAUGUAAGAGAGGGAAAAUUAUCAAACUAUCAAGUAACUUGGGUGAAAGUUCAAAUGCCCCUAUUUGGUCUCUCUCAUGUGUGUCCUGCCCUAUUAUCCUACCAGAAAUUGUUCUAUGUAAAACAUUUAAGAACAUUUUUUUAAAGAUAUAAUGGUUGCCUCAAGAUUUUAAGUAGUGCAAACGGGGAUAAGUCACCCUUUUAUUUAUUUUCCUUUCUCAAUUGAGUUGUAAUAAUAAAUAACUAUAUAGUGCAAGGUGCAAUACAACGCGACUGUACGCAUGUUAAGGCUAUGGCUCUACCAAUGAAUGUGAGCUAUGUUGCGAGUACAAUCCAUCUCGGUGUGCGAGUUGUGCAUCACUAGGGGCCAUCGCGUUAGCGAGAUGAAACUUCACGAGUUGUUUCUCCCUUGAUCUACUCUACACUUGGUCUUCUUCAUUUCCUAAUUCACACGACGUCUCCAACAAAUAAAAUCACACAAACAAUGCGAUGAUGAUAUGGUAACCGAGAAACAUGUAGCACAUAUGCAACACAUGGUCCUAAUUUGCAUCGUAACAUGUAUCACUCGAUCACAUGUCACUACAGCGAUCUUGGCAUCAUGGCGACUUCAUGGAUUACAUGGCAACGAUUAUGUCCCUCGCUCUUGUAAGUUGCCGCAUUGCAGCGAUGGAUUCCCAUGAAUGCAUUAAGAUUUGGAAACAUGAAGGAGAUUGGAAGUUUUGAAAAAUGACAACUAAAUGGGGCAAGCAAGGUCAGAUGCGACCACCACUUCCUCUAUGUUGUUUACUGUUUGAACUUUUCCAUCGCGGGUCUUCUCCACCUCCACAUUUACAAUGUUUCAAGGCCACACUCUUAUCGCCUUCGCCUACUAUCCUCCCCCUCCAUAUAAGGGUGGUCCUAGGGGUGUGGCUAGGAGGACCAUAUUGUCUAUCCAACCCAAGGCCUAGGGGGCAAACUUUUUCUCAACAUGAAGGGUACUUCACAUUAUAGUGUAUGUGUUCUUUUCAUCGUACUAUGUGCACUUCACAUAUUAGUCAUGCUAGUCUGUGUACUUCCCAUGUGCUUGUGAGUGUAUCUCGCCCAUGGAAGUGUUUUUUCUAUGGGUAUUUUUCAUGUGUUGUGUGUGUACUUUUUGUGUUUGUGUCUAUAGCAUUAGUGUGUGUAGUUAUUUCCAGUUUAUAGUGUAUACUCCCAAAUCAUUGCAUGUAAUUCCCAAACCGGUGUGUACACUUACCAAGUCAAUGCAUAUGUACUUCCCAUCUUUUGUGAUGUACUCUCAUAUUCAUUAAUGUGGGGUUCCAUAAUACAAGCUGCAGGUGUGUGCCACGUCGAAUGUGGUUCAACCUAGGGCCCACUUUUCAAAAAAAUACCAAAUUUGAUGUGCCAAAGACCCGUGAAACAUAACCGAUAAUGUGCACAUGGGAAUGUAGCUUGACAUACAAAUUGGUGAAAAAACUUUUAAAGUUUGGGAGUGUACUCUAAAGAAAUGAUGCAAUUUUGAAAUUUUAUUUUUAAAAUGAUUGGAGCAUGCCCUAGGAUUCACCAAUUUGCACCCAUAGGCAAAACCCUGGAGAUAACACCCACAAGACGCUUGAGCUCCCCAUGCUAUCACACUCCAUAGGGGUUCCUCACUUAGUUGAUUCCUCAAUCACCAUUUGGCACACAUACUAAAAAUGCGGGAAUAAGAAAAAUACAACGAUUGAGAUAUCACACAUGAACUGAAACCAAAGGAGAACUCCAAAAUUGCCAUUUGGAUGAAAAAAGCAUAGAAAUCCUACAAACUUCUAUAGAAUAGCCCGUCUCAAAGGAAUUUCAAAAUAAUGCAUGAUAAUAAUUCAACUCUUUUGUUCGAAACGGGGACUUAUUCCCAACGACAUACGUUUUGGCCUGGAAUAUCACCUACCAUGACUCAAUCCAUACUCUGCAAUAGUCAACAUACUCUCUCCAUUCCAAAAUAUUUGAAGUUUUGUAUGCCCUAAGGCAAACUUCUUUAAAUUUGACCAAGGUAAAAAAACAUACCAACAUCUACAAUACAAAUUAAUUUCAUUAGAUUCAUAUAAUAAAGUAUUUUUUUCAUUAUAUAUAUAUAUUAUGAUGUGGAUAUUAGCAACUUUUUCUAUAAAAUUGGUCAAACUUUAAAAGGUUUGAGUAGGACAUACCUAAAACUUCUAAUAUUUUUAGGACGAAGUAGACCGUAUCUCUGGACCACCACCACCUCGGUUUGACACUGAGCCCCGCAUCCGAUUCUAGCCUCUUCACCUGUUAUCGUUACCUUGGAACAUCGUCGGAAGAUGAGUUUUUUUAUGGGCAGCCAUUCAACACACUUUAUUUGUUAAUCACAAAGGUUACAUCAUUCAUAAGAAGCGUUAGGAGGAAGCCAGUUCAACACACUUUAUUUGUUAGAUCUAGCUACCUCAUGUGUGACCUUAUUAGCUUUCCUUGGGCAAUGAUCAAAGACAAUUUUACCAAAAUACUUGCCCUCAUCGAGUAAUCAUGAAGUAUUGAGGAACUCGCGGAAAAUCCACUUGCAGUAGAUUGUAGCAUUACAAUGGGUAAACAAGGGUACUAUUUGAGAACCUUUAGUGGCUAAGGAUCAGAAGUUCACACUACAGUAAAGGUGAUACUCCCUCGUUCCAAAAUAUAAGGUGUGUCAGUUUUCCCAAAUGUCAACCACAUGCGUGUUUGACCAAAAAAAUUAGAAAAAAGUGUCAGUGUCUAGAAUACCAAAUUUGUAUGAUUAGAUCUAACGCGGAAAGUAUAUUCAAAUUUUAUUUAUCUAGUAUUGUAGAUGUCAUUUUAUUCUAUAGUCUUGCUCAAACAUAUAUAAGUUUACCUUGCGCGAAAACGGAUACACCUUAUAUUCUGGAACGAAGGAAGUAUUAACUAAAAGUAUAGAUCAUGUUUGUCGCAAAAGGAGAGAAAGAGGAGUGCGUCCAAAUGUCACUGAGAUGAAAUAAUGAAGAGAAAGUAAGGUGCCGGAAAAUAUAUGGCCUGCCAUAAAUAAACCUGAAGAUUGAGUUGUAACAAUAGAUUUGCGAAUAAUAAUAAUAAUAAUAAUAAUAAUAAUAAUAAUAAUAAUAAUAAUAAUAAUAAUAAUAAUAAUAAAAGCUAUGACAAUAAAUCUCUUUUUUGUGGUAAAAACUGGGCUCGGUCUUGUACUCCCAAGUUUGUCAUACGCCAAUGCCACAUUGUUCGGAAAAGUUUCUUCAGAAAAGGAAUUGUUCAAGAGAGAAGUCAUUGUCACCAAAGUCUAAGAUACAACCCCGAACUUCAAAACAGUCUACUUUACAACAUCAAACUUUCAAAACCAGACAAAAACCAACCCUGCACUGGUUUCAACACAAUUUUGACUAGUUUUGACCAUUGACCGCCUAGUCAGCAUCCUAGUCACCCCGCAAGUCACCCUCCGACUAAACCCCGAAUGUGUAUUUUCCUUCUAAUUUUUUUUUUAUCUAUUUGGCAAAACAUUUUGGAACUUUCCCAGUUUGAAUACAAGGGUAGUGCUCAUUUUUGAGAUUUUUCUUUCCAUUUGUUUUUCUGAUUUUGUUUUGGCCAAUUUUGACCAAAAAUGGUCUUAAAUGUGUAUUUUCAUUAUACUUUUUAGCUAUUUGAAAAAACUUUCUCAUGUUGAAUACGAGGGUAGUGUUCAUUUUGAGAAAAAAAAUCCCAUGCCUUUUUGAAGAAAAAGAACAUUACAUGGCCAAAUUUUCACCUAAAAUGGACUUGAAUGUGUAUUUUCCUUCUAAUUGUUUAUCUGUUUGGCAAAACGUUUUGAAACUUUCCUACAUUGAAUCACAUUGUAGUUUUGAAAAUUUUCUAGAAACUUCAAUUAAGUGGAUGGGUAUCAACGAUGCUGACUAGGUAGUCAAUGGUCAAAACCAGUCAAAACUAAACCAGUCGACUUUUGUCACGUUUUGGAACUUCAAGGUUGUGAAGUUGACAAUUUUGAAGUUCAGAAUUGUGUCUUAAGACUUUAAUGACAAAGUUCAGGGUUGUAAUAUGAACUUCUCCCAUUGUUCAGCCAUGAUUUAAGAAUAUCAUAACUUGAGAAAAGUUUCAUCAGUAUUUCAUUUGGAUCAACGACCAAUAAAAUAUGGUCAAAUAUCACAUUCCUCUCACUGGGACAAGGUUUACCUCAAUCUAAGGUUCAAAAUUGACAGCAGGAUACAUCAUAAGACAUCGGCGGUUAACAAGACAACGCAACGCCCAACAACCCCAGCCCUAUCUGUACAUAUACGUGGUGACAAUCUAUAGUCCUGCACCCAAGACGAGAUGUAUGUGCUCAA
rnacentral:lncRNA from 1 species